UACAGAGGCCUCUAGCGUUAGGCGGAAUCACUGGGCUUAAAGCGUGUGUAGGCGGACCCCUAAGUGUCUUGUGAAAUCCCACGGCUCACCCGUGGAACCGCUGGGCAUACUGGGGGUCUUGGGCCAUUCAGGGGCGACUGGAACAAGCGGUGGAGCGGUGAAAUGCGUAGAUAUCGCUUGGAACGCCGACGGUGAAAACAGGUCGCUGGGAAUGUGCCGACGCUGAGACACGAAAGCCAGGGGAGCAAACGGG
rnacentral:rRNA from 1 species